AUUGAACGCUGGCGGCAUGCCUUACACAUGCAAGUCGAACGGCAGCACGGGAGCAAUCCUGGUGGCGAGUGGCGAACGGGUGAGUAAUAUAUCGGAACGUGCCCGGUCGUGGGGAUAACGUAGCGAAAGCUACGCUAAUACCGCAUACGAUCUACGGAUGAAAGCGGGGGAUCGCAAGACCUCGCGCGAUCGGAGCGGCCGAUAUCAGAUUAGGUAGUUGGUGAGGUAAAGGCUCACCAAGCCGACGAUCUGUAGCUGGUCUGAGAGGACGACCAGCCACACUGGGACUGAGACACGGCCCAGACUCCUACGGGAGGCAGCAGUGGGGAAUUUUGGACAAUGGGCGCAAGCCUGAUCCAGCAAUGCCGCGUGCAGGAUGAAGGCCUUCGGGUU
rnacentral:rRNA from 1 species